UACCAGACUCCUACGGGAGGCAGCAGUGGGGAAUAUUGCACAAUGGGGGAAACCCUGAUGCAGCGACGCCGCGUGAGUGAAGAAGUAUUUCGGUAUGUAAAGCUCUAUCAGCAGGGAAGAAAAUGACGGUACCUGACUAAGAAGCCCCGGCUAACUACGUGCCAGCAGCCGCGGUAAUACGUAGGGGGCAAGCGUUAUCCGGAUUUACUGGGUGUAAAGGGAGCGUAGACGGCAGCGCAAGUCUGAAGCGAAAUCCCAUGGCGUAACCAUGGAACUGCUUUGGAAGCUGUGCAGCUGGAGUGCAGGAGAGGUAAGCGGAAUUCCUAGUGUAGCGGUGAAAUGCGUAGAUAUUAGGAGGAGCACCAGUGGCGAAGGCGGCCUGCUGGACAGUAACUGACGUUGAGGCUCGAAAGCGUGGGGAGCAAACAGGAUUAGAUACCCCGGUAGUG
rnacentral:rRNA from 1 species